rnacentral:miRNA from 1 species
GUGAGGGCAGGGAGGAUUGGGGUGUGAGGGUCCACCCCAGACGCACUGUAUGACACUCCCUCCUCCUCCCCAG